rnacentral:sRNA from 1 species
UGUCUUAAUUUAACUUGUAUCAUUAAAUUGCAGGAGACAUCGAAGAACUUUUUGCUGAAGAAGAUAAUGAUGCUACAAAGAUGACAAGUAGUUCAGGAGUUGGAGAUUCUAACAUAUGAUGAGAAGUUUUUUUUGCUCAGUUUUUUUUUGGACA